GGAAACUUAGUGACCAAGUUUAGCAUUAAACAAAAGCAUUUCCUCUCUCUUUCUCCCCUCUCAUUUUCGUCCAUCUCUCUCUCCCUCUCUACUCUCACUAUUUUCUUUUCAAUCCAUCAUGGAAGAACACUCCAAAGCUUCUAAACACAUAGAUCCACCAUCACCACUCCUAGAACUAGCCUUCAAUCACCAAGAAUCAAGAGAAUGAUCAAGCUAGAGUUUCCAAACCCAAGUGGAUCAAAGAGUUCGCCAUUUUCUUAAAUAUUGAGGGUCCGGGCGACAGGAAGUGAAGCCGAAGAAGAAGCGACUCCACGCUAGCUUAAGAACGUUUGAGGUUGAGCAGCUGAUGGAAUGGAAUGGUGUUGAGCGGGUGUUCCUUUGAUCAUUUCAAGAAAUGUAACCUUGAGUAUACAUCUUCAUAUGUAUAUCUCACACGUUUUCCGCUGAAAAACACUUUGAUUAGGAUAACUCUAUGUUAUGAAAUUGUUACACGUGUUAUUGGGUAACCCACCUUAAUCAGUUCUCCUUUAUGUGUAUGUGUUAUAAGUAUCCAAAUGAUCAUAUAUGAUCCUAGCAUUUUAUCUAUGAGUGA